GCCGGGCGUGGUGGCGCAUGCCUGUAGUCUCAGCUACUCGGGAGGCUGAGGCAGGAGAAUUGCUUGGGCCUGGAAGGCGGAGGUUGCAGUGAGCCGAGAACGCACCACUGCACUCCAGUCUAGGCGACAGAGUGAGACCCUGUCUCAA
rnacentral:SRP_RNA from 1 species